UGAAGAAGAACCUCGCUCCUGACUUUCAUUGGGCCUUGCAAUUCCUGUAUAUUGUUUGGAAGAACCAUCAACAACUUUCUUCAUGAUUGCAAUUGUUUGAUUUUCUAAUGUUUCUCUUCAUAUUUUCCAGUUGAGGGAAUGUGCAUUUUCUAGUUGAGGGAAUGUCCAUGCACGCCUGGUCAUUGGAGUUUCGGUGCAAAUUUUGCUUGGAAUGAAUACAUCUUUAAUUAUAUAUUGGCAACAUACAGGGAAAUUCAG